rnacentral:lncRNA from 1 species
UGUGCCUGGGGUCAGGGCUGGGGCUGACGGAGCAUCUCUCAGAAUCCAUGCUGUCAGGCCCACGCCCAGCACCUGCUGAGCCCAGGAGGGGAGGAAGUGGUGUGCAGUCCCACCCGCCCACCAACGCCCAGCCCAUGGUGACAUGGGAGAUGUUCUCUUCAACAUGA